GGUGAGUAGCUUAAUGGUAGAGCGCAUGGUUGUGGCCCAUGAAGGUGUGAGUUCGAAUCUCAUCUUUCCACCCA
rnacentral:tRNA from 1 species